AUAUUCUUUUUCUCAUUUUACCUUCUAUCGUAAAAAUUCCAAUAAAAUAUUUACAGCAUUUUCUUUCAUGGUAUGCUUUUCCUUUAUCAUUGAGUCUAGAAUAAACCACGUUCCCCACAGGGGGAUGUGUCCUUGUGCCAGAAUUAGACAAAACAGGCAUGAGGACCCCUGGCCAUCUGUGAACUUGGGCCACAUGAGGGCAAACUCUUCACUCGAGGUGGCCAGCUCAGUCCAGCAACUCGUCUACUGAACACCUACUAUGAGCUGACACUAUGUCGGGCCUGGGGAAAGAGCAGACACAAAUGCAAUUUCACCCCUGCCCCGCAGGAAGAAGACAAACAUAAAUAAUUCUCCCCACUGCAGACCAGGGGGAAGUGCUGGGGCGCGGGGGGGGGGCAGUAGCAGGGUUCAUGGAGGGAGGGAAAGAUUCUUUAUGGCCAGAGUGACUGGGAACGCUUCCCAGAGGAGACAGGAAUUUAUCUGGAACUUGAAUAAUCCAGGGGGGCCAUUCCAGACAGAACAAACAGCUUGAGCAAACAUUGGGAACACAAGACAAUUGGGCUUGUGCAGGAAGAGAGAAGAGGCUGGGACCCAGAAUGCUGUAGUGGCAGGAGAGGUGGAGGACAGCCAAGAGUGGGUGCUGGUACAAAAGGCAGAAAGGAGCUUGGUGAGCAAGGUCCUUGGUGCUGGCCUUGCUGAGGAUGCAGCAGGGUAGCAGGACGGGGCUCCGUGGAACGUGGUCUGCCAGGGUCUUUGUCGCUAAGAGUCAGCUCCCGGCUCACCCGGAGCUGGGAUGAGAUGUCCACCUCUCUGGCUUUGCCCUUCUGCAAUUGCCUGCUAGUGGCUGUUCUAGAGGAUUCAGCUCAGCUGCCCACCCCAGAAUCAGCCCUCCUGGUCAUCUGGUGACAGGUAACAUGGAACAGGCAGUCUGGGACCUCAGGCACACAAAUGAACUUCAGGAUCACUCACUUAAAAAAAACAACCACCAAAAAAGCAGAUUUCCUGUUUGCCUCUCUAAAGAGGAAGUUUUCUGUAACUUCUUGAGACUUCUAGGCCCCUAUACUGGCUCUUCUCUCCCUUAGGAAUCUGCAGCCUCAGCCCUGGCCGAAAGGGACCCUAUACACAAUUGGCAGCAACCACAUUCAACUUUUUAACAGCUGACUCCUGCCAAUGUCCUCCUCUCCCCAUUGCCAACCCCGAGAGUAUUGCAGAGAUUAAUUAGGAGCUGUCUGCAAGAAGGCAACCACAUUAUGAGUCUCUGGAGAGCACAGCCCCAGUCUAACCUUAGCCAUUCAUUCCGUAAAUACUUAUUGGAUGUGCCAGGCAUUCUUCCAGGUCAUAGAGCAGAGUGGUUGUGGGCUCAGGCUCUGGGGCAAGACUGCCUCUACCUGUCUCAGCUCCACCACUGGCAAGCUGUGUAACCUUGGGCAAGGUAAUUAACCUCUCUGAGCCUUAGGGAUAAUAUUACCUAUCUUGCAGGGUUUUAAGGAUUAAAUUAUGUUUUUAUAGCAGUUUCUGAGAACAAGGAAUGAGAACACAAAACCACACAUGUUCAUAACAGCCAAAAAGGAGAAAAAACCCAAAUGUCCAUCUGAUGAAUGGAUAAAUAAAAUAGGGACGGCUAGGGGGUGCGCGGUUUCUUUUUAGGGUAGUGAAAAUGUUCUAAAAUUGAUGGUGGUAAUGGUUGCACAACUCUGUGAAUAUACUAAGAGCCACUGUACAUUUAAAUUGGUGAAUUGUACGGUAUAUGGAUUAUAUCUCACUAAAGCUGCCUUUUAAAAUGUCUUAGAACAAGGCCUGGCACAUAAUAAGCGCUCAGUAAGUGUCCGCUAGUGUUAUCUGGUGCUCAGAAAACAGGAAUGAAAAGGAUGAGCAGGCUCUCUGCCUCAUGAAGCUUGCAUUCACGGAAUUCAGUUCUGCAUCCUACCUACGCGUGGUCGAGCACAGUGCUGGCACGCAGCCAACAUUCGCCAUCGUCGCUCAGACUGCGUGCCUUCCGGAAGUCCAACCAUGUUGCCCAGUGUGAGGGGGUGACAUGUGAUGUCUGGCUAGGGCUGUCUGCCCAUUUAUUCUUGUCCUCUAACAAAGCCCACCCUCUCGUGGACCACAGGAUCAACAGUAUUCCUUCUGGAUCUUCUCAACUCCUGACUGGCUUUGUCUCCUGCUCUUAGAAGUCCUUGACCUCUUCGCUUCCUGCCCCACCCUUGAACCUGACAGUGCAUCUGCUUCUCUGGUUUGGACCUUCAGCUCUCAGGGAUAGGCUCUGGGCCCUGACCCAAGGAAUGGGAUGGUGCCAGAGAAAUGCAGACAUCUGGUUCUCAGGGCAUUGCCAAGGUUCCAAGCAUACCAGUUCUUGGAACAUGGAAUUCACCAGAGGAACUCUGAGUGCAGAGGCAAACAGAGACUUCAUUCCCAGGAGCCACACCCAGGUUCACGCGGCCAAGUGACUGCAAAGCUGCAUUC
rnacentral:lncRNA from 1 species